rnacentral:rRNA from 1 species
GACGUACCACCCGAACGUUAUUCGGAAUCACUGGGCUUAAAGAGUCCGUAGGCGGCCAAGAAAGUUGGGUGUGAAAUCCCUCAGCUCAACUGAGGAAUUGCGCUCAAAACUACUUGGCUCGAGAAAGACAGAGGUGAGCGGAACUGAUGGUGGAGCGGUGAAAUGCAUUGAUAUCAUCAGGAACACCGGUGGCGAAAGCGGCUCACUGGGUCUUUUCUGACGCUGAGGGACGAAAGCUAGGGGAGCGAACGGG